rnacentral:lncRNA from 1 species
AAAAAAAAAAAAAAAAGCCACGUCGGCAGCCACGUCAGCAGGCCCGGUCAGCAGUCCCGACCAACCGGGGCCUGCCACGUGGCAAGACCACGUCGCUCCGAAAAGGGGCCACGUUGGCGAUCCGCGUGGGUGCGAUCGGACGGCCCAGAUCAAUCGUGCGAUCGGACGGCCCAGAUGCAAUCGCACGGACGGCCCAGAUUCAAUCAAAAACGAACGGCCCAGAUUAAAACAAAAUGAACGACUGAGAUCAAAAGGCAAGGGGUUAUAAAUAGAACCCCUACACCAGACCACAAGCCCUAGCCGCCUGCCGCUCGCCGGAGAAGACAAACCAGAAGCCGGCCGCCGCGCCGGGGAAAUUUCCGACCGCCGAUCGAGGUAAAUUUGUAAAUUUCAUACCCCUGACUCGUUUUUCCACGCUGAUUCCUCUUGUGGCCAAAUCGGAGCCAAAAUCCCGGCCAAACGGCCGGAAUACGCGGCCGAAGACCA